rnacentral:rRNA from 1 species
GUCUACUGCCAUGCCACCCUGAACAAGCCCAAUCCCAUCUGAUCUCGGAAGCUAAGCAGGAUCAGUCCUGGUUAGUACUUGGAUGGGAGACCACCUAGGUAGACCAGGUCCUGUAGGCA